AUUGAACGCUGGCGGCAUGCCUUACACAUGCAAGUCGAACGGUAGAGUAGCAAUACUUGAGAGUGGCGAACGGGUGAGUAAUAUAUCGGAACGUGCCCAGUCGUGGGGGGAUAACGUAGAGAAAUUUACGCUAAUACCGCAUACGAUCUAAGGAUGAAAGCGGGGGAUUCGCAAGAACCUCGCGCGAUUGGAGCGGCUGAUAUCAGAUUAGGUUGUUGGUGAGGUAAAAGACUCACCAAGCCGACGAUCUGUAGCUGGUUUGAGAGAACGACCAGCCACACUGGGACUGAGACACGGCCCAGACUCCUACGGGAGGCAGCAGUGGGGGAAGUUUUUGGACAAUAGGGCGAAAGACCUGAUCCAGCAAUGCCGCGUGCAGGAAGAA
rnacentral:rRNA from 1 species